AGGGCCACACUCGUGGUACAUGGAGGUUCCCAGGCUAGGGGUCAAAUUGGAACUGUAGCCACUGGCCUACACCACAGCUGUAGCAACUCAGGAUCCGAGCCGCAUCUGUGACCUACACCACAGCUCACCAGAUCCUUAAUCCACUGAGCGAGGCCAGAGAUCGAACUGCAUCCUCAUGGAUCCCAGUCAGAUUUGUUAACCGCUGAGUCACGACAGGAACUCCACAAGGUUGAUAUUUUUUGAUCCACCAAACCACUUGUAGGAUUUAACCCUAAAGGAAUAAUCAGAAAUGUAUAGAAAAUGUUUGCUCUUGUUUAUCUUAUCGAUAGUAUUGAAAAAUGAUCCAAAUGUUUAAUAGUGUGGGUGGGACUGGUUAAAUGAAUCUUGGCACAGCCAUGACAGAGGAUGCUCUUCAGCCAUUAAGUGGUAUUAUGAAAAGAAAAAUAUUUUAUUGAAUACUUAUGAUACAUCUGGCAUUAUGCGAAGCACCUUAAUUAUACUAUCUCACUUAAGCCUAACAAUAUCCCUAGAUGGUAGGUAUAAUUCUUCCCAUUUAUUCGAAAAAACACAGACGUUAAGUUCAAACAGCUGGUAAUGUUGCUGGAAUUCAACCCAUGUCUGCUCUUAAUCCUAAUUCUUAAUCACUGUGCUAAUGAUGGGGGAAAGUAUUCACUGUUUACUAGUAAGUUACUGUUGUUUGAGGGGGGUUGUUGGUGAGUUCCCAGCAUGGAGAAGGACAUGGACAGCACUGCAUCCUUAACCUCUAGGCUACCAGGGAACUCUGAGUUAUUGUUUUAAUGCAGGUUAACUGACCUUAAAACAAACAAACAACAAACUCCUUUUUUGUGUGGAGUUCCUGCUGUGGUACAGUGGUUUAAGUAUCUGACUGUAGGGAGUUCCCUCUGUGGCUCAGUGGUAAUGAACCUGACUAGUAUCCACAAGGUUCAACCCCUGUCCUUGCUUAGUGGGUUAAGGAUCCAGUGUUGCUGUGAACUGUGGAAUAGUUUGCAGACACAGCUUGGAUCAGGGGUUGCUGUGGCUGUGCUAUAGGCUGGCAGCUACAGCUCCAAUUUGACCCCUAGCCUGGGAACUUCCAUAUGCCACAAGUGCAGCCAUAAAAAAAAUAAAAAUAAGAUCCCUUCAUGUGAAAUCCCUUCUUCCUAAUUUUGGAAGUUACUGAUGAGCUGACAUGAUUUUUUCCCCCAAGAUGAAUCUGCCUUUAUACGUGUUCUUUAUUGAUUUUGAAAGUAUUGAAUGCCUGUUCUAAGAACUCAAGUGAUACUGAAGAUUAUGAAGCUCUUUUUAUUUUUAUUUUAAAAUUUUAUUUAUUUAUUUUUGGCCAUACCCAUCGCUUAUGGGAGUUCCUGGACCAGGGAUCCAAUCCAAGCUGCACCUGUGACCUGUGCCACAGCUGCAGCAAUGCUGGAUCCUUAACCCACUGAGCCACAGUGGGAACGCCUUUUUAAAUGUUCCCUCAAUUCUACCUCAUCUUGCUCUUGUGUCAGCUUACCCCUUGGGAUGGAGAUGAACCAGAAAGGCAUAUUGAGUGGAGGGAUCCAUGUAGGUCUAAAUGGCUAAAUUCCAACACAGAGAUCCAUAGUGUAUGUGAUUAAGCAUGGCAGUUGAAGCACUGUCCCUGGAGGCCAACUGUGUAGACUGUGUCCCAGCUUCUGAACUAGGGCAACUUACUUGUCCUCUUGGUGCCUUACUGUAAGGAUGAUGAUGAAGGUAUUGAUGGUGAUGAUGACAUGGCACACAUGCAGAGAUGGAAGAAAAGAAAAAUAACUUAAUAGCACUUAUGUACUGUAUACCUAUAUGGUCUCCCAUUUGAGCUCUAUGGGUUAGAUAUUUUUAUUAUUCCCAUUUUAUACAGAUGAGGAAUAUAAAACUCAGGAGCUUACAUAUUUCCACAUGUAGAGUGAAUCAUUAGAGGACAUGAUAAACACUGAAAGCCAGCUGACCGGGAGAUAGCAAAAUGCCAUGGAAUGAGCUGACAAACUGGCCUGCAGUGGAACUACCAUCGAGGACCAAGGCUCAGUGCUGGAACUUUCAGGACUGGGUGGUACCCAAUCUGCCUUUGCAGUCUGGUUCUUAACUCACUGCACCAUGGGAACUCUCUAUAAAUAUUUCUGUUUCUCCCUUAAUAUGUACUAAAAUUAUUUCUGAGUAUCAAUCUAUCUCAUUUGUGCUUUGAGGAAGCAAAUAGGCAAAAAGGAUCUUUGGCCAUCUUCUGCUGGCGUUUUCGAGAAGAACUUUGUCAGACACAAGGUGUGCUGGGCUUCAAAUGUCAGAAGCCCAAGAGGGCAAAGAUACGCACUGCAAGAAAGCCUCUUUCCCAAAGGCUUCUGGAGUAUUCUCUGCUCCAGGCUUGAAAGGUUUUGAACAAUGUUCUUUGUCUUAGAGGAUGGCCUUUCACUUACUCAUCUGUCCAGGAUGACUCAUCGCCAAGAGUGUUGAGUAAGUGAAAUUUUUACAGUAUUUAUGUUUUGGGACUUUAUAAACAUGGUGAUGUGGAAAGAGCAUGGACUUUGGAGUCAGACAGACCUGGGGUAAGUUCCUUGCUUUGUAACUUAGUAGUUGUGCAAUUUGGGGCUAGUUAAUAACUUCUCUGGGAUUCCUCAUCUAUAAAACAGGAAUGAUGAAAUUUACUGCACAGAAUGGGUAUGAAAAUGAAGUGAGCCAGCAAAAAUGAAAGUGGACCCUGUAACCUCUGGCACACAUAGUCACUUAUGCCUUUCCUUCUGCUGUCAGAUGGUGGUUGUGAGGUGAGCAUUUGCCAUGUCUUGUAUUUAUUUUUAUAUUUUCUACUAUAUAAAGUACAGUGCUUUGUUUACAUUUGCAUCUGUAAAUACCAGACAAAUGACAUUGGCAUCCAUGUGCAGAAACUGGAGCAUGAGUGGACAGAUUUAAGGUGUGUUUUAAUGUUUAUUCAUCUAUUUAUCCUAUCAUAGAGAACAACCGCGAAGUGUGGAUAAGUAGGAUGUGGGGUCAGGGCGGAGGAGUGAGGCAGGUCAUUCCCUGCACAGGGCCACCAGCUCCAGGGGAGAGUGGGGACUAAGCUCUCGGCCCCUCUGCUUACAGAGACCCUGAGAGCACCUGCCUUUGCUGGAAGGCAGCCUUCUAUGGGGGAAGGACAGCCCCAUCUCUUCGGAUGCAAGGGGCUCCUCUUAUAAACCAUUUGCUGGGCUUGGGUUAAAUGUUUUCUUUUUGGAGUUUCCUGGUGGCCUAGCCAGUUAAGGAUCUGGCAUUUUCACUGAUGUGGCUCCGGUUGCUUCUGUGCCAUAGGUUCCAUCCCUGGCCUAGGAACUUUGGUGUGCCAUGGGCAUAGCAAAUUAAUUAAUUAAUUAAAAUUAUGAAAUUAUGUGAAGAAUAAGAUGACACUCAUUGACCCAUGAAUUGAGAUGGCCAUAAUUGCUGUAACUUUUUAAAAUUUUUUUAGUUAAUAUCAUACUUUUAGAAAAACUGGAUGGAAUAUUACAAAGACUUCCCAUACAUUCUUCACAGUUUCCCAGAUUUAAUAGCUUACCACAUUUGCUUAUCCUUGUCUGUCUCUAUUACAUGCACAGAUUUUUUUUUUGAGCCAUUUGAGAUUAAAUUUCCCUCCCUCCCUCUUCUUCCUUCCUUCCCUCCUUUCUUUCCACUAAGACAUUUAGGUAGAGCUAAAACUUCCCCUCCUUGCCCCUCCCCUCUUCUCCCUCCCUGCCUCUCUUUGCCUUUUGUCAUUUUUUCCCCCUUUUUUUGGCCUCUCUGGGGCAUAUGGAGUUCUCAGGGAUCAGACCUAUGCUGCGACAAUGCUCCUUAACUUACUGUGCCAGGCCAGGGUUCAAACCUGCAUCCCAGCACUUCAGAGAUGCUGCAGAUCCUGUUACACCCCCGCAGGAACUCCACUCCUUGCCUUUGUCAGGGAACCUGAUGUUUUACAUGUUUUUGUGCUUUUACCACAUAUGAUUAGAUCUAUAGAGGAAUUUUUGUUAUUUUGAGACUUGUUUUGUAAUCCAGUACACAGUCACUUUUUUUUUUUUUUUGCUGUGCCUACGGCAUAUGGAACUUCAUGGGUCAGGGAUCAAACCCCUGCCAAAUCAAUGACCUAAGCCACAGCAGGUACAGCACCAGAUCCCGCUGAACCAUCAUGGAACAUGAUCAAUUUUACAAAUUGUUGCAUAUAACCUGAAAAUGAAUGUGUACUUUUUAAAAAAUUUAUUUUAUUUAUUUAUUUAUUUUGCUUUUCAGGGCUGCACCUGUGGUAUAUGGAAGUUCCCAGGCUAGGGGUCAAAUCAGAGCUGCAGCUGUCAGCCUAUACCACAGCCACAGCAACCCAGGAUCUGAGCUGCAUCUGCGACCUAUACUACAGCCUGCAGGGUUAAGCAUUGCUGAAUCUUUACCCUGCUGAGUGAGGCCAGGGAUUGAACCCACAUCCUCAUGGAUACUAGUUGGAUUUUUAACCCACUGAGCCACAACGGGCAGUCCAACAAGAGAAGUCAGCUUUUUAGAUAAUAUUGACCAAAUCCUUUUUUUCCAUUAUUCCAAAACUAAAUUUUAAUAUUCCUGUGAUGUUUAUGGAACUGGAAGCUUAGUAAAAAUGUUUCUUAGCUAAUUCAACAAAAAUUGAAUAUUAUUUGCUAUACAGUGGUAAAUAGAAUACAUGUGGGGAAGAGUGGGGAAAGUAGACACAAAACUAUUGAACCCAAAUAAAUUGUGAAAAUUGAUAAAUGAGAAAAGAACUGUUUCCAUAAGGGAGAAAACAAUGGGUUGUGGAGGAUGUUCCAAGAGGAAUGAACAGCUCUAGGAAGGUCAUGGGCCAGGACAGACCUUGGCCACUGAAGGGCUGGGCUGACAGAAGCCAGCAAGGCAGGAACCAAGAGGUGGCCUUACUGGGACAGACAUGCUGUUUGAGCCAUGUGAAAGCUUUUGAUUUUGUUCCAGGAAUUGGACUCUGUUGAAGGGUUUUCAGUGGAGAGUAAGAUGACUUAUUUAUAGUUUUAAAUAUAACUCUAACUGAUAGGCGGAGAAUGAGCAGAGAAAAUCUAGCAUGGAAGCAGGGUUACAGUAUAGAGCAACUUUGGCAAAUGCAGGUGUUUAUGACCUGAGAGUAUGUUUACCUCUUCUCAGAGAGUGUAACUCCACCACAUGGUGGAGUUCCCUUGUGGUGCAGUGUGUUAUCAAUCCAGUAUUGUCACUGCAGCAGUUUGGGUCACUGCUGUGCACAGGUUUGAUCCCUGGCCUAGGAAACUUCCGCAUGCCCCAGGUGUGGCCAAAGAAAAACCCCAGACCAACCACAUGGCAAGCCAAACAGACUUAAACUAACUUCAUCUGUAAAGAAUUGUUUAUACAGUUUUUAAUAAUCAUGGUAGAUUCUUCACAAGUCUAGAAGGUCUAAAAUUAUAGCCAUAACCCCACCAUAAUUUAAAUUUUGUAAAAUAUUUUUAUUUUGAGAAUUUUAAACUUCUGUAGAAAGAGAAGAGUGCAAUGAAUUCCCAUUACCUUGGGAAUUAAAUUACUCAAUGAAUAUUAGGUUUGCUGACAUUGACUUCAUCUGUCACUUUUCUUCCUUUGUGAAAUAUUUAUUUAGUGAUUGACUUUUUGCUUUUUAGGGCUAUAUCCUCGGCAUAUGGAGGUUCCCAGGCUAGGGGUCCAAUCGGAACUAUAGCUGCCAGCCUACACCAGAGCCACAGCAACACCAGAUCUGAGCCUCGUCUGUGACCUACACCACAGCUCACAGCAACACCCUAUCUCUAACCCACUUAGCAAGGCCAGGAAUUGAACCCACAACCUCAUGGUUCCUAGUCAGAUUUGUUUCCACUGUGCCACGACAGGAACUUCUCCUUUGUGAUAUUUAAAAGCAAAUCCCAAAUAUAUAAUUUUGUUCCUUACUAUAAUAAGGAUCCAACUCUAAAAUAUGAACAUUUUCAUACAUACCACAGACAUUCAUGAAAUGUAAAAAUUUAUUGCUAACAUCUAGUAUCAAUUCCAUAACCACAUUUCUUUGAUGUCUCAAAAAAUUUCUUUUUAUAGUUUAUUUGUUCAAAUCAGAAUCCAAAUAAGAUCCAUAGCAUGUAUUUGGUUGUUAGAUCUUUUAAGUCUCCUUUAACCCAGGGCACUGGUUUUUUCUUUCCUCCUUUUUUUUUUCCUUUUAAAAAAUUUAUGUCAUUGAUUUGUUGUAGAAACUGGAUUAGUUGUCCUAUAAAAUGUCUAAAUAUUGCAUAAUAAAAACUCUUCAAUUAAAAAAAAAAGGACAAAAUGCAGGGUUUGAGCCUUUCAACUUCCAGUAAGUCAGCCCAUCUCUUUGGAAUGUUCUUUGAAGUGUCUGGCAUUCAGUCCAGUCCAGUGAACCAUAAACACUCACCACGCUUGGCACACAUACGCAGGCUGCUAAAUAACAGUGCUUUUGCUGGAUGUUUGAAUUUUAUCAUUCAGGCUUCUCAGGUUCUUGACCUGUUUACUCACUGUGAUUUGUCUACUGUUACUAAAUUAACAGAAUCUGAAAAUAGCACUAUUUCUGAAACAUUUUUUUAAAAAGCAAUUAAGAUAAUGCCUGUUUGCUAAACUCCAUCUUCUCUACUUCAGAAAUUAGAAAAUUAAAAAUAGUUGAACUGGAGGUAGCAUCCGUAAAAGCCAAAUUUGGUUCCACUUUGAAGAUGCAGAGAAGAAGCAGUGACCAGACAAUGCAUGUUUUCUUCACUUCAGCGUCUGCCUUCACCUUUGAUUUCUUUGCUAUAAUUAGCCUCUGUUGCCAGUUAAGCUAAGAACUUACUACCUGCAGUAACUAGAUCAGGAGUUCUUUUAGCUUUGUUGUUUCAAUAGUGCAUGAAUAUUAUUACAAAUUUAAAAGGGUUUUUUAAAAUGUCUAUCUCAUGCUAAUCAUUUUGACUCAUUUACUAAUUUGAAUAUUCAAAGCAAAGGUAUACUUCCAAAUCAAGCAUAGGCCAUAUUUACAGAAAACUGGAUAUUUAAUGUUUUUUCACUUCUGGAAAACCAAAAACAGUAUCUUCAUUGAACCUGUGCUCACACAUUCUGGACUUAACCCUGGUUCUACAACUUACAUGCUAGAGAAACCAUUUAAUUUUUCCAAGCCAUAGUUUUCUCAGGAAAAAUGAACGCACUCUACUUAAUUUAUAGGGACUUAGGGGUAAUAGGUGAAACGGUUUAAAGUGUAGCUUGGGUAAUUUUGGGUGUGUUCUUUGGAUCAGGCCCUAAACUAGGAGACGGUUGACAGAUAUGUAUUUGCUAUUUUAUUUGGCCAUGCCUUCGGAGGAGGGAUUGAACCCACGAUACAGUUUCAACCUGUUCCGAAGCUGUGGCAAUGUUGGAUCGUUAGCCCCCUUCACCAUAAGGGAGCUUCCCAUAUUAGUUAUUUUAAGAUGAAAGAGGGAGUUCCCAUUGUGGUGAAGUGGAAACGAAUCCAGCUAGGAUCCAUGAAGAUGCAGGUUCAAUCCCUGGCCUUGCUCAGUGGGUUGGGAAUCUGGCGUUGCCGUGAGCUAUGGUGUAGGUCAAAAAUGAGGCUCGGAUCCCGCAUUGCCGUGGCUGUGGCAUAGGCCAGCAGUUUCAGCUCCAAUUCGACCCCUAGCCUGAGAAAUUCCAAAUGCCGUGGAUGUGGCCCUAAAAAGCAACAAAGUUUUUAAAAAAAUUUUUUUAAAUAAAAAAUAAAGAUGAAAGAGAAAGGUUUGAGAACCAGGAUCCUCGAAUCCUCAACUAGCCAGCUACUGUGGCUUCAGCUGCCCCCUCUUGAACCCUUUAAGAGAUAAGUAGAGAGGACCAGGUUAAACAGACACCAGCCAAAGAUAAGAGCUGGAGCCUUGACAUAUGUUUGGGAUGAAUUGGGUGGUCAGCGGAUAAUCUUUCCUGUGGUCCACUGAUAAUUAGUUACUCUUUGUGCUCCUAUAACUCUUUGGAUUCAUCAUAUUCUGCCUUGUAGGAUAUUUAUUUUGUACAAAUAUAUACCAUCCACUUAAAUAUCUUAAGAGCAGGGGUCAUAUUUAUCUUCCUAGAAUUUCCUAAUGUAGUAAGAACUCAAUAAAUGUUUAUUUAAUCAAAUUGGCACUUGAAUGGCCAGAAAUGUCACCUCAUCAUAUGGUCUUCAAUUAGAAAAGACUUCGUAGUUGCAAAGUCGAAAAAGCAACUUAAACCAAGCCAAACUACACUAUACACUAACAAUGAGAUUAACAUUGGAAGGUAAUAUUCCAGGAGUUAUAAUGGACAAGCUGAAUUAAGUAUUGGUUUAUCCAUUCAUUUAGCAAACGUUUGUUGAGAACUUGUUGUACGUUAGACACUGUGCUUGAUGAACAGGAUGCCAAGGUGAAACUCAGCACUCAGGGAGUUCACAGUUUCAGUUGUGUUGAAUCUGGGAAUAGGUUUUGUUUUUUUUUUUUUUUUUGGGGGGGGGUGUCUUUUGA
rnacentral:lncRNA from 1 species